CAGGGUAAUACUGAGGUCAUUGUUGGGGUAAAAUGCGAGCUUUCUACUCCAAACCAAUCGACACCCACAUCAGGGAGAAUUGAAUUUAAUUUUGAAUGUUCAAAAAAUGUCUUUUCCGAAAACGAUAAUGAUUUUUCCAGCCAAAUGUCAGCGGAAGUCGUGGGCUUCAUUAACUCCGCGUUUUCGAAUUACCACCAUAAUCCUUCCCUCUGCAUAAUUCCGUCAAAAAUAUGCUGGUUACUCCAUAUUGACAUUUUGUUAUUGGAAUCUGGCGGGAAUAUAUAUGACGUCACAUCCCUGGCCAUAAAAGUAGCCUUGGCGGACACAAUUCUCCCGUUGGUCUCAGUUUCCG